UACAGAGGCCUCGAGCGUUAGGCGGAAUCACUGGGCUUAAAGCGUGUGUAGGCGGAUCGUUAAGUACCUUGUGAAAUCCCACGGCUCAACCGUGGAACUGCUUGGUAUACUGGCGUCUUGUGCAACCUAGGGCGAGCGGAACAGAUGGUGGAGCGGUGAAAUGCGUAGGAUAUCAUCUGGAACGCCAAUGGUGAAAACAGC
rnacentral:rRNA from 1 species